GCCAAUGUGGUGUAGUGAUUUAAGCACUCGACUAUGACUCUGGAGACCAGAGUUCAAAUCCCAGCUUGGUCA